GUGCCUUAUAACAUGUCUUUAUAACUGGCUGUGUAAGAAUGAAGAAAAGCUGUCCAUCUUCUGAGAAGGAAGCAGCAUGUGCCAUCCUUCUGUCAGAAAACACCAAAGAGAUGAAGAAAUGAGAAAUCCAGAAACCAAAGACCUUGCUCUUUUGUCAAACAGACUUGGUAGAGCAGAGUUGCAAAAUCAGACCUUUGGGGGCUUGCGUGUUUCUCCUCUUACUCCCUGGUCUCUCAAAAGCUCCCUCUAUGUGUGUCUUGAGCUGACCCAAUAGCUCUGCAGCAGGGUCCCCAUUGGUCACCCUCUAUGGUCCCUGGAUCACAUGCAGAAGCCCUGCCUUGAACUUCAGGCUGCCUGGCUUGGAUCCUGAUGCUGCUUUGCUGACACAAUCCAUUCUCCCAGGGAACACCCAGAGUUCCACUCCAGCCCUGGCAACGCUGCAGCAGAGGCCAACUGUACGGAAAGUCUACAUUGGCUCGGAACAAUUGAGGCUGGGAGAGGCUGGUGAUUUCCUGCUUGGUCGUCUUUUAAAACCCAGCCAUCUGAAUCCGAGAGUUGCUUCUUCAGCAAGGCCUCCCCUGACUCCUUCAGAUGUCUAAGCACCACCCCUACUCUUCUGCUGCAGCAUCUCCACUUGCUUUUGUCCUUCAUCUCCCUGAAAUUAUUUGCUUACUCAUCCAUCCAUGUCAGUUGCAAAAGCAUGACUUCCUCUAGUCCAAAGGCCAUUCAUGUUCAAUAUGUUAGCACUCGGAGCGUCUCCAGUGGUUGUUUCAAACAAGGCAAAUGAGUUCAGUUGAACUUUAUAUGUUCUGCCCUCCGACUGUGACUGUUAUUUACUUCCCUCCAAACAAAAUGUAAUAAUAAAAUGACUAAC
rnacentral:lncRNA from 1 species